rnacentral:rRNA from 1 species
UACGUAGGGACCAAGCGUUUGUUCGGAUUUACUGGGCGUAAAGGGCGCGUAGGCGGCAAUUUCAAGUCAUCUGUGAAAUCUCCGGGCUUAACCCGGAACGGUCAGAUGAUACUGCUUUGCUAGAGUGCGGAAGGGGCAAUCGGAAUUCUUGGUGUAGCGGUGAAAUGCGUAGAUAUCAAGAGGAACACCUGAGGUGAAGACGGAUGCUGGGCCGACACUGACGCUGACAGCGCGAAAGCCAGGGGAGCAAACGGG